rnacentral:rRNA from 1 species
ACAGGUGUUGCAUGGCUGUCGUCAGCUCGUGUCGUGAGAUGUUCGGUUAAGUCCGCUUAACGAGCGCAACCCGCGUUGUGUGUUAUAUGUGUCACACGAAUACCGCCGGUAUUAAGCCGGAGGAAGGUGCGGAUGACGUCAAGUCAGCAUGACCUUUAUAUCCAGGGCUACACACACGCUACAAUGGACAGUACAACAGGUUGCCAAGCCGCGAGGCGGAGGCCAAUCCUCUAAAGCUGUCCUCAGUUCAGAUUGCAGGCUGCAACCCGCCUGCAUGAAGUUGGAGUUGCUAGUAAACGCAGGUCAGCCAUACUGCGUUGAAUACGUUCCCGGGGCUU